AUUGAACGCUGGCGGCAGGCCUAACACAUGCAAGUCGAGCGGAUGAAGGGAGCUUGCUCCUGGAUUCAGCGGCGGACGGGUGAGUAAUGCCUAGGAAUCUGCCUGGUAGUGGGGGAUAACGUCCGGAAACGGGCGCUAAUACCGCAUACGUCCUGAGGGAGAAAGUGGGGGAUCUUCGGACCUCACGCUAUCAGAUGAGCCUAGGUCGGAUUAGCUAGUUGGUGGGGUAAAGGCCUACCAAGGCGACGAUCCGUAACUGGUCUGAGAGGAUGAUCAGUCACUCUGGAACUGAGACACGGUCCAGACUCCUACGGCAGGCAGCAGUGGGGCAUUUUGGACGAUGGGCGGAUGCCUGCUCCAGCCAUGCCACCUGUCUGCAGCAGGUCUUCGCAUUGUAGAGCACUUUACGUUGCGAGGAAGGGCAGUAAGUUAUUUCCUUGCUUUUUUGUCGUUACCAACAGAAUCAGCACCGGCUAACUUCGUG
rnacentral:rRNA from 1 species